rnacentral:rRNA from 11 species
GCCUAAAUAUACUAAAGGUGGCCUAAUCCCAGAUCCCAUCUAAUGUUGGAAGCUAAGCACGGUCAAACUGGAUUCGUACGCAGAUGGGACACUGCCUAUGAAGACCAGGUACUGUAGGCU